GGGGAAUAUUGCACAAUGGGGGAAACCCUGAUGCAGCAACGCCGCGUGAGUGAAGAAGGCCUUCGGGUCGUAAAGCUCUGUCCUAAGGGAAGAACAAAAUGACAUUACCUUAGGAGGAAGCCCCGGCUAACUACGUGCCAGCAGCCGCGGUAAUACGUAGGGGGCAAGCGUUAUCCGGAAUCAUUGGGCGUAAAGGGUGCGUAGGCGGCCUAUAAAGUCUGGGGUGAAAGGCUACGGCUUAACCGUAGUAAGCCUUGGAAACUUAUGGGCUUGAGUGCAGGAGAGGAGAGUGGAAUUCCUAGUGUAGCGGUGAAAUGCGUAGAUAUUAGGAGGAACACCAGUGGCGAAGGCGACUCUCUGGACUGUAACUGACGCUGAGGCACGAAAGCGUGGGUAGCGAAC
rnacentral:rRNA from 1 species